UAUCAAAAACAUGUCCUUUUGUGUUUAAAUAUAAGGUCUAACCUGCCCAGUGAUUAAUUAAAUGGCCGCGGUAUUUUAACUGUGCUAAGGUAGCAUAAUCAUUUGUCUUUUAAUUGAAGGCUAGAAUGAAUGGUUGGACGAGGUAUAUGCUUUCUUUAACUUAGUUAUUGAAUUUAAUUUUUUAGUUAAAAAGCUAAAAUUUAUUUGAGGGACGAGAAGACCCUAUAGAUCUUUAUAUAUCUAUUUAUCAUAUAUUUUAGUAAAUCAAUUAUCUUGAUAAAUUUGUAUAUUUGGUUGGGGCGAUUGUGGAAUUUUAAUAACUUCUAUUUAUAUAGUUUUCAGUGAUUUUUGUUUAUUUGAUCCAUUAUUAGUGAUUAUAAGAUUAAGUUACCUUAGGGAUAACAGCGUAAUUUCUUUGGAGAGUUCAUAUCGAUGAAGGAGUUUGCGACCUCGAUGUUGGAUUAAAAUAAGUAAUAGGUGCAGGAGCUUAUUUACUAGGUCUGUUCGACCUUUAAUUUUUUACAUGAUCUGAGUUCAA
rnacentral:rRNA from 1 species